rnacentral:rRNA from 1 species
UACAGAGGGUGCAAGCGUUAAUCGGAUUUACUGGGCGUAAAGGGUGUGUAGGUGGUUUGACAAGUCGGUUGUGAAAUCCCUGGGCUCAACCUGGGAACUGCUUCCGAGACUGUCAGACUAGAGUACGGUAGAGGGCGGUGGAAUUUCCGGUGUAGCGGUGAAAUGCGUAGAUAUCGGAAGGAACACCAAUGGCGAAGGCAGCCGCCUGGGCCUGUACUGACACUGAAACACGAAAGCGUGGGGAUCAAACAGG